rnacentral:misc_RNA from 1 species
AAAAAGAAAAAGAAAAAAAAAAGAGAAAUUUCCCCACAAAUGGAAAUUUCAAGAUCAUCCAAAAUUAGCACCUUCUCACUUCAAAAUUCCUUCUAUUCAUCCUUUAGUGCAGUCAUCCCCCCAUGUCACCUUGAGAUAUUAUAAUUCUGAGAGUAGUCAAGCUGAUCGAUUUCCCAUCUCAAUUUCGAAGCAACCAUCUCAUGACAGGGGACAUACUCCUAUGUUGUUUAUCCAAUAAAAAGAAACAAAAAUUCAUUACCAUCCCUUUUUUUCCACUCCAAGAAGUAAAACAAACUUUAGGAUCAACCCAUAAAAGCCAUAGUGAACAGGCUUAAGAAACAGGGAAAGCACAAAUUUCUUUCAUAUCUACGCAUAACAUCAUUUUGAUAAUUGAUAAAAAAAUGGGUGCACGCUGUUUAGUAAAAUGAAGCCCACUUUGAUUUAUUCGGAGCAAUCAAAUCAAGUCUUUUUUGCAUCUUGGCUUUAAUUCGUUCCAAAUUUUUCUCAGAAGCAACUAAUGGAAGUAAAUACAAUGCAUUUUCCAAAUUCCCAAUAAAUCACUCACAAGAUAAACAAUUCAAAGUGAUGAAAGUAGGCCUAGAUAAGUGGAUACCUUAGCUUACCUCCAAUUUCAUUACCAACUCCUUUGCUGUUGGAGCAGAUGCAAAGAUGUUGCGAGCACUGGGGUGUAUAAAUCCCUCUUCCACAGCUUUGUCAAUAAAUGAGAGCAAAGAAUUGUAGUAUCCAUCAACAUUCAACAAUCCCACCGGUUUGUCGUGAAUUCCUAGUUGAGCCCAGGUUAUCACUUCAAGUAACUCUUCAAGAGUCCCAUAACCACCUGGUAAAGCAAUAAAAGCAUCUGAAUGCUUAGCCAUCUCUGCCUUCCUUUGAUGCAUAUCUGCUACUGCCUUCACUUCCCCCACUGUUUCACCAGUUAACUGCAAAAGGGGUACGACAGGCACAGAAAAAUAAAAAUUGAAGGAUUGAAUAAAGAGAGAAGUUUGGAGGGUUGUGCAGUGAAGCAAUGAUGAGUGUUGCAGGAAUAGUUGGCUUAAUCCAAAGAAUUUAACUCGGCAACUUCCUAGCCAGUAAUUUAUUUAUCUCAUAACAGGAAGAAAAAUAAAAUAAAAUUUUGAAAGAACCCAAUAAAGAAAAACACAGAACAAAACACUGCUAUAGAACUAAACAGAGAAGACAGCAGAAGGUAGAAACCCAUAAAUAUGUAUGUAGAAGGUGUAGUGCCUAGUUGCCAACUAGUCAACUAGUAUUAUGGAUAAGGCUAUCUAGUAUUUGCCACAUGAGUAGAAAUCUUGUGUAACAGCUUAUUUGUUAUUCUGAUCAUAGUAAAUGAAUUAUUUUAUCUCAAUGACAGAUGGAAAUCUUGAGAAACAAACAGAAAAUGACAGAACCGAAAGAAGAGAGAAAAAAAAUAAUAAUAAAGAAAGAAUAAACAAAAAUAAAUAUUUGUACUUAGAUUUCUACGCCCUUGUAAUCUGUGAUUCUUGUUAGAGGUGUAAAUGACUUAAGCUACUUGAACUCAACUAGUAAAAUAAUUUGAAUUCAACUUUAUUUUUAUCAAGUCGAGCUCGAGCUCAAGCCAUUCAACUAAUAUGUUGUGCCAAGUUAAUACUCAACUCAAGUAGCUUGCAAUCUUAAUCGAUGUGUGUGUA